rnacentral:rRNA from 1 species
CCUACGGGUGGCAGCAGUCGAGAAUCAUUCACAAUGGGGGAAACCCUGAUGGUGCGACGCCGCGUGGGGGAAUGAAGUUCUUCGGAUUGUAAACCCCUGUCAUGUGGGAGCAAAUUAAAAAGAUAGUACCACAAGAGGAAGAGACGGCUAACUCUGUGCCAGCAGCCGCGGUAAUACAGAGGUCUCAAGCGUUGUUCGGAAUCACUGGGCGUAAAGCGUGCGUAGGCUGUUUCGUAAGUCGUGUGUGAAAGGCGCGGGCUCAACCCGCGGACGGCACAUGAUACUGCGAGACUAGAGUAAGGGAGGGGGAACCGGAAUUCUCGGUGUAGCAGUGAAAUGCGUAGAUAUCGAGAGGAACACUCGUGGCGAAGGCGGGUUCCUGGACAUUAACUGACGCUGAGGCACGAAGGCCAGGGGAGCGAAAGGGAUUAGAUACCCCUGUAGUC